rnacentral:rRNA from 1 species
UUGGCGGUACUCUGACCGUGCAAAGGUAGCAUAAUCAUUUGCCUUAUAAUUGAAGGCUAGUAUGAAUGGUUUGACAAGAAUGAAGCUGUCUCUUUAUAAUUUAAUAGAAUUUUAUCUUUAGGUGAAGAAGCCUAUGUAAAAUUAAAAGACAAGAAGACCCUAUCGAGCUUAAAAAAAAUUAAUAGAAUUAAGUUAAUUAAUAUUUAUAAAAAAUUAUCUAUUAAAUAUUUUAGUUGGGGCGACUGAGGAACAUGAAAAGCUUCCUUUAAAAUGAAAUUAACUAAAAUCAAACUAGAAUUGAUCCAAAAUUAUUUUGAUUAAAGAAAUUAGUUACCGUAGGGAUAACAGCAUUAUCUUUUUUAAGAGCUCAUAUCGAAAAAAAGGUUUGUGACCUCGAUGUUGGACCAGAAUAUCCUGAAGGUGCAGCAGUCUU